rnacentral:rRNA from 1 species
UACAGAGGGUGCGAGCGUUGUCCGGAAUCACUGGGCGUAAAGGGCGCGUAGGCGGCUCAGUAAGGUUGCGGUGAAAGCCCGGGGCUCAACCCCGGGUCGGCCGUGGCAACUGCUGGGCUGGAGCACUGUAGAGGCAGGUGGAAUUCCGGGUGUAGCGGUGGAAUGCGUAGAGAUCCGGAAGAACACCGGUGGCGAAGGCGGCCUGCUGGGCAGUAGCUGACGCUGAUGCGCGACAGCCAGGGGAGCAAACGGG